AGUUCCAAUUCGAUUUGGAUCAUUGGAUCUACGAGAUGAACGACCCGGAUUUGAUUAGUAAUUAAGCACCCCGUAGUUCAUUAUUUCGACUAUUUCGUGCAUUAUGAGGGUGAAUUAGUAAUUUUAUAGUAUCAAAUCUGGGGAAAACGAGGAGGCGCGAAUUUAGCGGGAUACACCCACUGAAUUCCAUCUACCGCCUCAUUCUUUACAAACCGCAUUUACUCCCCUUAUCUCUCCACUAUCCUUCUCAAAUUCCAUCCGACUAGCAAAUCCCUAGCCGCCGCGGACAUUGUUAUCGGUAAUUAAACCGUUUUUCAAUCGAAUUCCAUGCUUGUCGUCGGUUCCGAACAUUACUCCAACGCGUUCUAAGCAGAGAUCUUAAAAUGCCGAAAAGAGGACGGCCCACCAAUUCGCAGCAAUCCCAGCAAGAUUGGGACUAAGCAACUGAGAAUGAACAUAGAGAAGGCGGUUGAUGUUUUAAUUUACUCUCCAAGGGUUUAGCAAUCUCGUGGGCUAGGGUGUACUAUGGAGUAAGUAACACAACCGUCGGCAAAGUCCACGAGUUCCAGUCAUACCUCUAGGGUUUAGAUAUCAUCAACGUUAGGGAUUAGUUAUAACUAAUAGACAUUAUGUAAAAAUAUUUAUGUGUAAUGUAUUUUAUUCACCCAGUAAUGGACGAUAUGUGUCAUGUAAUGGAUAUGUUUCAGAGACGUUUUUGUUCUGAUUUUAUGAGUAGUUAUAACUUAUU